CGGACGGGUGAGUAAUGUCUGGGAAACUGCCCGAUGGAGGGGGAUAACUACUGGAAACGGUAGCUAAUACCGCAUAACGUCGCAAGACCAAAGAGGGGACCUUCGGGCCUCUUGCCAUCGGAUGUGCCCAGAUGGGAUUAGCUAGUAGGUGGGGUAAAGGCUCACCUAGGCGACGAUCCCUAGCUGGUCUGAGAGGAUGACCAGCCACACUGGAACUGAGACACGGUCCAG
rnacentral:rRNA from 1 species